GACGAACGCUGGCGGCGUGCUUAACACAUGCAAGUCGAGCGGUAAGGCCCUUUCGGGGGUACACGAGCGGCGAACGGGUGAGUAACACGUGGGUGACCUGCCCUCAGCUCUGGGAUAAGCCCGGGAAACUGGGUCUAAUACCGGAUAUGACUCCAUGACGCAUGUUGUGGGGUGGAAAGCCUUGUGCGGCUGAGGAUGGGCCCGCGGCCUAUCAGCUUGUUGGUGGGGUGAUGGCCACCAAGGCGACGACGGGUAGCCGGCCUGAGAGGGCGACCGGCCACACUGGGACUGAGACACGGCCCAGACUCCUACGGGAGGCAGCAGUGGGGGAAUCUUGCGCAAUGGGCGAAAGCCUGACGCAGCGACGCCGCGUGAGGGAUGACGGCCU
rnacentral:rRNA from 1 species